rnacentral:ncRNA from 1 species
UGACGAAUGACGGGAGAGACUUGCGGAUAAAAUAACCGCAUGCACCGAAGGAGCAAGUCGCACGGAUAGCCGUCCGGCGAUCAAUCUCUCAGGUAAACGAACCGCCUUCCGACG